UGUGGUGAUGGUAGCAAGAAGGAUACACCUGUUCCCAUGCCGAACACAGCAGUUAAGCUUCUUAGCGCCGAUGGUAGUUGGACCUUUGGUCCUGUGAGAGUAGGUCGUUGCCAUGC
rnacentral:rRNA from 3 species